rnacentral:rRNA from 1 species
UAAUGAUGGCCAGGCUGUCUCCACCCGAGACUCAGUGAAAUUGAACUCGCUGUGAAGAUGCAGUGUACCCGCGGCAAGACGGAAAGACCCCGUGAACCUUUACUAUAGCUUGACACUGAACAUUGAGCCUUGAUGUGUAGGAUAGGUGGGAGGCUUUGAAGUGUGGACGCCAGUCUGCAUGGAGCCGACCUUGAAAUACCACCCUUUAAUGUUUGAUGUUCUAACGUUGACCCGUGAUCCGGGUUGCGGACAGUGUCUGGUGGGUAGUUUGACUGGGGCGGUCUCCUCCUAAAGAGUAACGGAGGAGCACGAAGGUUGGCUAAUCCUGGUCGGACAUCAGGAGGUUAGUGCAAUGGCAUAAGCCAGCUUGACUGCGAGCGUGACGGCGCGAGCAGGUGCGAAAGCAGGUCAUAGUGAUCCGGUGGUUCUGAAUGGAAGGGCCAUCGCUCAACGGAUAAAAGGUACUCCGGGGAUAACAGGCUGAUACCGCCCAAGAGUUCAUAUCGACGGCGGUGUUUGGCACCUCGAUGUCGGCUCAUCACAUCCUGGGGCUGAAGUAGGUCCCAAGGGUAUGGCUGUUCGCCAUUUAAAGUGGUACGCGAGCUGGGUUUAGAACGUCGUGAGACAGUUCGGUCCCUAUCUGCCGUGGGCGCUGGAGAACUGAGGGGGGCUGCUCCUAGUACGAGAGGACCGGAGUGGACGCAUCACUGGUGUUCGGGUUGUCAUGCCAAUGGCACUGCCCGGUAGCUAAAUGCGGAAGAGAUAAGUGCUGAAAGCAUCUAAGCACGAAACUUGCC